rnacentral:misc_RNA from 1 species
CUGCCAGAUCCAAGAUUUCAUAAUAGAGCGAUUCAAUUUCGAAGGACCAAGUCAAAAGUCCACAGCCAGUGGAUCCAAUUAUUUAAUGCCGAAUAAAUGACAGUGUUGUCACUAUAAGGGAGUCAUUGAAGCUGUUUUGAUACAAUCAAGAACUUCUGCAGAAAGCCAUUUCUGUUGUUUGCAGAAUUAUCUGCAAGUGGGAAAAAGCUAGUUAAAG